GGAUGUAAACAUCUUUUUAACUGCGAGUCUGUGCCUACUGGGACACUUCUAAUUCCCUAGUAGGUGGGGCACUUCUAAUCCCCUAGACUAACGGCAACUCUAUUUUUCUCUACAGCAGGAUGUGCUCCAUUCACCUGCUGGAGAGUACUGAGCCGUUUUGAGCAGGAGGAGAAUUUAUAGGAGGUCUGCAGUGGGCGGGGCUCACGCUCAACACUGCAGUGUCGAUGUUUGACUCUCCAAAUAAGAUCCUAACAUUGUGAUGGGUCUACUCGACGUUCAUCACAACGUGGACUCGCCAAAUUAGAUCCUAACAUUGUGAUGGGUCUACUCGACGUUCAUCACAACGUGGACAACCACACAGCAGGAUGUGCUCCAUUCACCUGCUGGAGAGUACUGAGCCGUUUUGAGCAGGAGGAGAAUUUAUAGGAGGUCUGCAGUGGGCGGGGCUCACGCUCAACACUGCAGUGUCGAUGUUUGACUCUCCAAAUAAGAUCCUAACAUUGUGAUGGGUCUACUCGACGUUCAUCACAACGUGGACUCGCCAAAUUAGAUCCUAACAUUGUGAUGGGUCUACUCGACGUUCAUCACAACGUGGACAACCACACAGCAGGAUGUGCUCCAUUCACCUGCUGGAGAGUACUGAGCCGUUUUGAGCAGGAGGAGAAUUUAUAGGAGGUCUGCAGUGGGCGGGGCUCACGCUCAACACUGCAGUGUCGAUGUUUGACUCUCCAAAUAAGAUCCUAACAUUGUGAUGGGUCUACUCGACGUUCAUCACAACGUGGACUCGCCAAAUUAGAUCCUAACAUUGUGAUGGGUCUACUCGACGUUCAUCACAACGUGGACAACCACACAGCAGGAUGUGCUCCAUUCACCUGCUGGAGAGUACUGAGCCGUUUUGAGCAGGAGGAGAAUUUAUAGGAGGUCUGCAGUGGGCGGGGCUCACGCUCAACACUGCAGUGUCGAUGUUUGACUCUCCAAAUAAGAUCCUAACAUUGUGAUGGGUCUACUCGACGUUCAUCACAACGUGGACUCGCCAAAUUAGAUCCUAACAUUGUGAUGGGUCUACUCGACGUUCAUCACAACGUGGACAACCACACAGCAGGAUGUGCUCCAUUCACCUGCUGGAGAGUACUGAGCCGUUUUGAGCAGGAGGAGAAUUUAUAGGAGGUCUGCAGUGGGCGGGGCUCACGCUCAACACUGCAGUGUCGAUGUUUGACUCUCCAAAUAAGAUCCUAACAUUGUGAUGGGUCUACUCGACGUUCAUCACAACGUGGACUCGCCAAAUUAGAUCCUAACAUUGUGAUGGGUCUACUCGACGUUCAUCACAACGUGGACAACCACACAGCAGGAUGUGCUCCAUUCACCUGCUGGAGAGUACUGAGCCGUUUUGAGCAGGAGGAGAAUUUAUAGGAGGUCUGCAGUGGGCGGGGCUCACGCUCAACACUGCAGUGUCGAUGUUUGACUCUCCAAAUAAGAUCCUAACAUUGUGAUGGGUCUACUCGACGUUCAUCACAACGUGGACUCGCCAAAUUAGAUCCUAACAUUGUGAUGGGUCUACUCGACGUUCAUCACAACGUGGACAACCACACAGCAGGAUGUGCUCCAUUCACCUGCUGGAGAGUACUGAGCCGUUUUGAGCAGGAGGAGAAUUUAUAGGAGGUCUGCAGUGGGCGGGGCUCACGCUCAACACUGCAGUGUCGAUGUUUGACUCUCCAAAUAAGAUCCUAACAUUGUGAUGGGUCUACUCGACGUUCAUCACAACGUGGACUCGCCAAAUUAGAUCCUAACAUUGUGAUGGGUCUACUCGACGUUCAUCACAACGUGGACAACCACACAGCAGGAUGUGCUCCAUUCACCUGCUGGAGAGUACUGAGCCGUUUUGAGCAGGAGGAGAAUUUAUAGGAGGUCUGCAGUGGGCGGGGCUCACGCUCAACACUGCAGUGUCGAUGUUUGACUCUCCAAAUAAGAUCCUAACAUUGUGAUGGGUCUACUCGACGUUCAUCACAACGUGGACUCGCCAAAUUAGAUCCUAACAUUGUGAUGGGUCUACUCGACGUUCAUCACAACGUGGACAACCACACAGCAGGAUGUGCUCCAUUCACCUGCUGGAGAGUACUGAGCCGUUUUGAGCAGGAGGAGAAUUUAUAGGAGGUCUGCAGUGGGCGGGGCUCACGCUCAACACUGCAGUGUCGAUGUUUGACUCUCCAAAUAAGAUCCUAACAUUGUGAUGGGUCUACUCGACGUUCAUCACAACGUGGACUCGCCAAAUUAGAUCCUAACAUUGUGAUGGGUCUACUCGACGUUCAUCACAACGUGGACAACCACACAGGUUUCGCUCCCACAGUCGGAAACUAUGGGCCUGCCCGGGGGUAUGUCAUGGGGCUGGCUCCAUUUGUGGGGUUCCUUGUGGAUUUUGGGGAGUAAAUAAAACCUACGAGGACGGGGAUCCGAUUCGCCCAGGAGGUAAGUAAACUGUUUAUGAUUGAUGAAUCUUUUAUUUAAUAAAUUUUUAAUGAUUUUUUCCACCAUAGGGAUUGUGUCAAGAUAAAUGGGUGCGGCCAACGGGGAGUAGUAGGUGGUGUCGUUCAGUUGUCUGGUGCCCUCCCAGACAUACUGAGACCUGUCAAAGAUGACCACAGCGCUUCCUUUGUCUGCCGGUUUGAUAACAAUGUUAUUGUUAUUUUUCAGACUCUGAAGGGCCUCAGUUUCGUCACGCGUGAGGUUGGGCGUAAUGGCGAGGGCGCAACCCGAUAGGAGCGAUGGAUGCUCGUCCGCUAGGACCAGUGUGUGGACCUCUGGAGGUAGCAGACCGGGUGAGGGCUCCCACUCGGACCGGGCGGUGAAAGGUCGCGGACCGAGGGACCCUUGCUUUUCAUAGAACACCGCGAGUUUGACACCCCUGUGGUAUUCUUGUAAGUCAAACUUCAUUUGGUGGUGCCACUCAGGACUAAGGUGGGUGGAUGGGACGAACGUGAGGCCUUUAUUGAGGAGGGAGCGCUGUGAGGAGGUAAGUGUGAAAUGUUUUGCCAAAUUUACAAUGUUUUUGUUUGUGUUUGUGGUGGUGUUGUUUGUGCUUGUGUCACCCCCCCGACAGGUCGGGUUUUUGGGGAUGCCAUGUUUAAAUGGUGAAGCCAGUGCUUCAGCAUGUUUUUGGCCGUUUCCUCGGUCCAGUGAAGGUUGUCCCUCCCCGUAGCAAACUUCUCACUGGUGAGUGCCGGAAUGAAAUUAUAGUUUUUUUGAAUAUAAGUAUUAAUUUUGUGGAGGUUAUCUUUAUGUUCCUGGGGCAGGGCUUCUGAGAAGUUAAUGAUGGGGAUGGAAAUGUCGGCGUUCGGGAACACCGUUUUGGCCACCUUUAGGGCCCUUUGGAUUUGUUUAAAGGUGGUGGCCUUCGGGUUUUGUUCCUUGUUAUUGAGGCCGAACGAUAACACCACCAUUUCCACUUCGACACUAAUCUUUGUUUUUUCUAGGAUGGCCUCUGCGUGGCGGAAGUUGGCACCUGGAUAGCUGUCCAUCUGAAGGUCCUGGAGACGGACAGGUGGAAGACGACUAAUAUUGGAGUCCCCAAUCACCAGGACCUUCUUAUCCACAGACAGGUGCCAAUCAACCAACUUGCGCGUUGUACUGAUGUGUCUAGUGGGGCCCCUGCGCGGACUGAUAGGUGUGGCUAAUUGUGUCGUGUCUGUAUCCUCUGUCGGCUGAGAGGCCGAAGCGACCGCUCUAGGCCCCUUCCGGAUUCCCGAAAAAAAUUGGGACCAGCUUGGACCCGCUUCGGGAACCGGCGUGCGUGGAGGAGGAGUGUCCACAAGGGGCACGUCCGGAAGAGGCGCGUCCGGGAGGGGCGCGUCCAGGAGGGAGGAAGUCGGCGAGGAUGGUCCCGGUAGGCCAGAACCUAGUUGAGACCAACUGGGGGGCGUGUCAGGGGGCAGCUGGGACCACCCUGGAGGCCCCUCAGGGGAUGACGCCGGCUGCUCAGGUGGCGGUGGCGCGUCCGAGACCGCAGGAGGGACCCUGACUUCGGUCUCGACCUGCGGAUGCGGCCUGGGUGGCGGGACCAGGGGAGCCUCGACAAUAGAGUUGUCGGGAGGACUGCUGCAUGGCUCCUGGGGUCGUGUCAUUCUCUGGGGCCUGGAUGGUGCCGCAGCCAGAGAAGAAGGCGACAAAACCGGGAAGGGGACCGGGGUGACCGGUCCCCUAGGCCCCGGAACCGGCUCCACCACAGGGGACCAGUCCCCGACCACAGGGUCGGUCAUGGUGGACGCCGUGGCUCGCACAGGAGCGUGCAGGGUUGGAACCGGCAGGGGCAGCGGCAGCGGCAGCGGCAGCGGCGGCUGCACUACCUCCAUCACCACUCGGGUGCUGGAAGGAUCCAAGCGGACUGGUGACCCCGUCUGCUGGGAUCGUGACGGACUACCCCCCUCGUCCACGCCACGAACGUCCACACAGAUGGAGAUCACCAGACCCUCAGCCAGCCGCAGUGUCUCGGUGGUCAACCUGCGUCCCAGGUGUGUCCUGGUCCAAGCUGAGGCCACCUGGAAUGGUUCCUUCCAAUUUUGCCCAAUAAAAGCACUCAAUUUGUUGA